UACGGAGGGGGCUAGCGUUGUUCGGAAUUACUGGACGUAAAGCGCACGUAGGCGGACUGUUAAGUCGGGGGUGAAAUCCUGGGGCUCAACCUCAGAAUUGCCUCCGAUACUGGCAGUCUCGAGUGCGGGAGAGGUGGAGUGGAAUUCCCAGUGUAGAGGUGAAAUUCGUAGAUAUUGGGAAGAACACCAGUGGCGAAGGCGGCUGCACUGGCCCGUAACUGACGCUGAGGUGACGAAGGCGUGGGGAGCAAACAGG
rnacentral:rRNA from 1 species